rnacentral:rRNA from 1 species
UACGUAGGGCGCAAGCGUUGUCCGGAAUUAUUGGGCGUAAAGCGCUCGUAGGCGGCUUGUCACGUCGGAUGUGAAAGCCCGGGGCUUAACCCCGGGUCUGCAUUCGAUACGGGCUAGCUAGAGUGUGGUAGGGGAGAUCGGAAUUCCUGGUGUAGCGGUGAAAUGCGCAGAUAUCAGGAGGAACACCGGUGGCGAAGGCGGAUCUCUGGGCCAUUACUGACGCUGAGGAGCGAAAGCGUGGGGAGCGAACAGG